AGCGGGCCUCCCGGGACAAGUGUGACCCAAGGCCCAGCCGGCGAUGAGAUGGCUGCAGGGCCAGCCCAGCCCGUACUGCACCUGCCACUGGGCGCAGCGAGGAAAAGAAAAACUUUACUAAAGCAAAUCGUAACUACCUUAUCCUGAAGGCGUCGUGGUGAGAGCAAGCUGAUUCCGCAUUGCCCUGCACAUCGAUGUUGUCUUUAUCUACCUUACCUGAAGUUCGUUUCAAACAAGGAGUUUUAGAAUUUGAGAUUUUGAGCUUGUUAGAAACUCCUAGUUUUUUGAUGUACUGCACUUUUGUGGUCAUUUCCCAGAAUUUCUCAAAAAAUAAAUAAAAUAUUUAAAAAC
rnacentral:lncRNA from 1 species